rnacentral:rRNA from 1 species
GGCGCAAGCCUGAUGCAGCGACGCCGCGUGAGGGAUGAAGGCCUUCGGGUUGUAAACCUCUUUCGGCCGGGAAGAAACCGCCCCUUCUGUUCCAGGGUGGUGACGGUACCUGCAGAAGAAGCGCCGGCUAACUACGUGCCAGCAGCCGCGGUAA